rnacentral:rRNA from 2 species
ACGGGGUGCAGCAGGCGCGAAACCUUUGCAAUGUGCGCAAGCACGACAAGGUUAAUCCGAGUGUUUCCUGCUAGAGGAAUCUUUUGUUAGUCGUAAAACCACUGAUGAAUAAGGGGUGGGCAAGUUCUGGUGUCAGCCGCCGCGGUAAAACCAGCACCUCAAGUGGUCAGGAGGAUUAUUGGGCCUAAAGCAUCCGUAGCCGGCUCUGCAAGUUUUCGGUUAAAUCCAUUUGCUUAACAAAUGGGCUGCCGAAAAUACUACAUAGCUAGGGAGUGGGAGAGGUAGACGGUAUUCGGUAGGAAGGGGUAAAAUCCUUUGAUCUAUUGAGGACCACCUAUGGCGAAGGCAGUCUACCAGAACACGUUCGACGGUGAGGGAUGAAAGCUGGGGGAGCAAACCGGAUUAGAUACCCGGGUAGUCCCAGCUGUAAACGAUGCAGACUCGGUGAUGCACUGGCUUGUGGCCAGUGCAGUGCCGCAGGGAAGCCGUUAAGUUUGCCGCCUGGGAAGUACGUACGCAAGUAUGAAACUUAAAGGAAUUGGCGGGGGAGCAC